GAUUUAUUUUGUCAAAUGCGUCGUAUAUUUUCACAGCCUAUUGGUCUUUUUAUUUAAAGAUAAACCUUUUGACGUCAAUUUCGUGGUGGUGUUACUCCUUUCAUUACAUUUACUUGUGAUGAUAAGUUUACCCGUUAUAUAUUUAGAACUAUCACGAAAUGCGGUUUAUAAUAUAAAGGAUGGAUUAUUGAAGUCAUCUCUAGAGGAAAAUGAUAGUUUGAUGGCGGAUGAACUUCGACGGACAGUAGAAUACAUAAACCUGAGACCUCUAAAGCUUUGCAUUUACCGCGCUCUGCCUUUUGACAUGUCCUUGAUAGUAAAUUUCAUGUCGUUUGUUGUAACUUAUGUUAUAAUUGUAGCACAGUUUGUGGACAUAUAGAACAUGUAACAGAUAUCAUCGUGAUCUUCUAUUGUUGGUAGUUUAAAUGAAAU